rnacentral:rRNA from 1 species
CCUACGGGGGACUGCAGUGAGGAAUAUUGGUCAAUGGGCGAGAGCCUGAACCAGCCAAGUCGCGUGAGGGAGUACUGCCCUAUGGGUUGUAAACCUCUUUUGUCGGGGAGCAAAAGCCGGACGUGUCCGGCUGUGAGAGUACCCGAAGAAAAAGCAUCGGCUAACUCCGUGCCAGCAGCCGCGGUAAUACGGAGGAUGCGAGCGUUAUCCGGAUUUAUUGGGGUUAAAGGGUGCGCAGGCGGAUUUUUAAGUCAGCGGUCAAAUCGUGGGGCUCAACCCCGUCCAGCCGUUGAAACUGGGGAUCUAGAGUGUGCGAGAGGUAUGCGGAAUGCGUGGUGUAGCGGUGAAAUGCAUAGAUAUCACGCAGAACCCCGAUUGCGAAGGCAGCAUACCGGUGCACAACUGACGCUCAGGCACGAAAGCGUGGGUAUCGAACAGGAUUAGAUACCCGAGUAGUC